AUCGUUUCCUGGCUUUUCAGCGGAGAUCAAGCGUGUAUCUGUUCUUAACAGUUCAACAUCUGGUGCGUCCUCUAUCUGAGGACAAUAUGUUAAAUAGAUUUGGGAGCUGGAAAAUGGGAUUGGAGCUUGCUCCAUAUAUUCCAUGUGUGGACCUCGUGUCACAGCAUCUCCGUGGAUGGUUCAGCCCUU
ensembl:snRNA U2 U2 spliceosomal RNA